GGCUAUCAUUUACGUUUCUAAUACUCCACCAAACGCGCCCUUAAAUUUGGGGCCGCCAAACACGCCUUAGUCUGACUAAAAUAACUGGCCAAUCCUUAAAAUGGUGUUAUUUCCUUUGGCAAUCAGAUUCAUCCGCCAUGAAUCUCUCUUCCAGCCCACUAAGAAAAAGAACGCAAAACCUACACAAUGAAUUGAUCAUUCACAGAUCUCCCGCAGAAGCCUAUUCCAUGCCAUUCCCAUUUUCCAUUAAUUAAGUCCUUACCGCUAGUAUAAAAUCCCUUGUCGGAGGCAUAUCACCAACACCACCACCCGACCACAAUCCACUUUUUUCUGAAAAAUUUCUACCAUGAAUGCUGAUAAAAGCAUUUCAUCUUUCGGCUCCGUAUGGGUGCAGCAAAAUGUCGGAAGGACUCCUGGUGCAGUGGCCCAAAAUCGACAUUUGUCCAUGGGGUCCAUCAAAACACAGCUAGCAGGCGAUUCACACAAAUACGCCCACUUUUGCACAUGUAGUGGAUUAUAGUGAUUCAAUUAUAGUGAUUCUACAGUCAUAUUUGUGUGGACAGUUUAACAAAUACGCCCCCUUUUGCACAUGUAGUGGAUGCAUCUAUAUUUCCUUUCAAUUCUGAGUGAAUGUGUCUUGCCAGCCGGAAUUAUCAAGUUUUAAACAACCUCAAACUUUUUCUGCAAACUGCAUUUGACCAUCGUGGUUUUUCUGGCCUUCUGUUUGGUGGUGUAUUAACACCUUAUAUUAAUCGGCUUUCGAUAUAACUUUGAUUGCAUAUGAUGUGAUGCAUAUUGGCUGGAAAUUAGUUACACACAAAUGGGAUGCCACAAAAACCAGUCCCAAUGGUGUGAUGGAGUCAAGAAUUUUUUUUGGGCCGGGGGGGGGGGGGGGGGGGGGCACAAAAUUGGGCUGGUUCUUUGUAAUGCAUAUUGCAAUUUGAAAAUUUGUUAUAUGAUGAGUUCAGAAUGAUGAGUUGAAGAUGAUUGUUGAAUUAUUUGAAUUGUGGUAUAUUAUGGCCUUAUAAAAGCUGAAGGUAAAUGAAGUAUAUUAAAUUUGUUGAGAAUUUGAGCUGGUAAACAUCUAAGGGAAAACCAUCUUUUCUACUGUGAUCCCGUUGUAUGUGAUGAGUCUAAAUUAUUAUAGGCUUGUUCCAUAUUCCUGUAAUGAGACAUUUAAUUCUCUUAGUGGAUGGUUUGUCGACUAGUAAUUUUUAUAUUUUUAUAUAUCCAAAUGUAAGGUGAAAUUUUGGUCCGAAUACAGAAAUGUUGGUUUGAAAACUAUUAUUUCCAUAAAUGGUUUUGGCUCUUAAAGUUACAGUCAUUUCUUCUAUUAUGUCAUCUUCCAUCUCCAGCGUCGAUACUUCAAUGCCUGAUACUGAAUUUACUUUUGACAAAUUAGUAGCCAGAAGUUGUGAACCACUGAUGUUAUCUGUCCGAACCUGAAUUUGUUCUGCAUUACUCAAUCUUGCUGUAGAGUCUGUGGAUUGCAAGAUAUCAAUCAAGUUGAUGCGUAAUGCAUAUGCUGUGACACGUGGAUCGCUAUGCUUCAACUCCAAGUAGAAUUGCAGGAAGUGUCAUUCAUUAUUCGGAGUGGCGACAUAUCCACAUCUGCAAAAUACUCAAUCUUGAUACAUGAACGUCGCAUAUCGACCUUGAGCUCAUUCGCUAUCAUGUCGACAAGACCAAAGUACUUGGAACCAAAAGGAACUAGGAGACCAAAAGUAUUUGCGCCAUUCACUACAAAUACAUUAACCGCAUCCAUUCUUGUGCAAAGGAAAAAUAAAUGACUCUGGAUAAGUCUAAGUUCUGUAGAUAGGAACCUGUACACAGUUUUGAUGAAAAAUGGUUUCAGACGCAGCCUCAAAAUCAUAUUGUGAGAGGAUCAUUACCAAACAUUUAUUCCAAAUGGACUUCUGUUUUGCAUACAGACAUAUGAAACAAAUGUUGACAUAAGUUUGAAUUAUCUAGAGAUUAGUAUAUGUGAUGAAUAUAUUAACAUAUUAUUUUCUCAUGGAAGCAUUUUCAAGUCAGUGUAUAUGUUUAAUUGUGGAAACUUUAUCCCCUUUUCAUUGUUC
rnacentral:lncRNA from 1 species